rnacentral:rRNA from 1 species
GGGUUGUGAGGUUAAGCGACUAAGCGUACACGGUGGAUGCCCUGGCAGUCAGAGGCGAUGAAGGACGUGCUAAUCUGCGAUAAGCGUCGGUAAGGUGAUAUGAACCGUUAUAACCGGCGAUUUCCGAAUGGGGAAACCCAGUGUGAUUCGUCACACUAUCAUUAACUGAAUCCAUAGGUUAAUGAGGCGAACCGGGGGAACUGAAACAUCUAAGUACCCCGAGGAAAAGAAAUCAACCGAGAUUCCCCCAGUAGCGGCGAGCGAACGGGGAGCAGCCCAGAGCCUGAAUCAGUGUGUGUGUUAGUGGAAGCGUCUGGAAAGGCGCGCGAUACAGGGUGACAGCCCCGUACACAAAAAUGCACAUACUGUGAGCUCGAUGAGUAGGGCGGGACACGUGGUAUCCUGUCUGAAUAUGGGGGGACCAUCCUCCAAGGCUAAAUACUCCUGACUGACCGAUAGUGAACCAGUACCGUGAGGGAAAGGCGAAAAGAACCCCGGCGAGGGGAGUGAAAAAGAACCUGAAACCGUGUACGUACAAGCAGUGGGAGCACAGAGCAAUCUGUGUGACUGCGUACCUUUUGUAUAAUGGGUCAGCGACUUAUAUUCUGUAGCAAGGUUAACCGAAUAGGGGAGCCGAAGGGAAACCGAGUCUUAACUGGGCGUUAAGUUGCAGGGUAUAGACCCGAAACCCGGUGAUCUAGCCAUGGGCAGGUUGAAGGUUGGGUAACACUAACUGGAGGACCGAACCGACUAAUGUUGAAAAAUUAGCGGAUGACUUGUGGCUGGGGGUGAAAGGCCAAUCAAACCGGGAGAUAGCUGGUUCUCCCCGAAAGCUAUUUAGGUAGCGCCUCGUGAAUUCAUCUCCGGGGGUAGAGCACUGUUUCGGCAAGGGGGUCAUCCCGACUUACCAACCCGAUGCAAACUGCGAAUACCGGAGAAUGUUAUCACGGGAGACACACGGCGGGUGCUAACGUCCGUCGUGAAGAGGGAAACAACCCAGACCGCCAGCUAAGGUCCCAAAGUCAUGGUUAAGUGGGAAACGAUGUGGGAAGGCCCAGACAGCCAGGAUGUUGGCUUAGAAGCAGCCAUCAUUUAAAGAAAGCGUAAUAGCUCACUGGUCGAGUCGGCCUGCGCGGAAGAUGUAACGGGGCUAAACCAUGCACCGAAGCUGCGGCAGCGACGCUGAUGCGUUGUUGGGUAGGGGAGCGUUCUGUAAGCCUGUGAAGGUGUGCUGUGAGGCAUGCUGGAGGUAUCAGAAGUGCGAAUGCUGACAUAAGUAACGAUAAAGCGGGUGAAAAGCCCGCUCGCCGGAAGACCAAGGGUUCCUGUCCAACGUUAAUCGGGGCAGGGUGAGUCGACCCCUAAGGCGAGGCCGAAAGGCGUAGUCGAUGGGAAACAGGUUAAUAUUCCUGUACUUGGUGUUACUGCGAAGGGGGGACGGAGAAGGCUAUGUUGGCCGGGCGACGGUUGUCCCGGUUUAAGCGUGUAGGCUGGUUUUCCAGGCAAAUCCGGAAAAUCAAGGCUGAGGCGUGAUGACGAGGCACUACGGUGCUGAAGCAACAAAUGCCCUGCUUCCAGGAAAAGCCUCUAAGCAUCAGGUAACAUCAAAUCGUACCCCAAACCGACACAGGUGGUCAGGUAGAGAAUACCAAGGCGCUUGAGAGAACUCGGGUGAAGGAACUAGGCAAAAUGGUGCCGUAACUUCGGGAGAAGGCACGCUGAUAUGUAGGUGAAGCGACUUGCUCGUGGAGCUGAAAUCAGUCGAAGAUACCAGCUGGCUGCAACUGUUUAUUAAAAACACAGCACUGUGCAAACACGAAAGUGGACGUAUACGGUGUGACGCCUGCCCGGUGCCGGAAGGUUAAUUGAUGGGGUCAGCGCAAGCGAAGCUCUUGAUCGAAGCCCCGGUAAACGGCGGCCGUAACUAUAACGGUCCUAAGGUAGCGAAAUUCCUUGUCGGGUAAGUUCCGACCUGCACGAAUGGCGUAAUGAUGGCCAGGCUGUCUCCACCCGAGACUCAGUGAAAUUGAACUCGCUGUGAAGAUGCAGUGUACCCGCGGCAAGACGGAAAGACCCCGUGAACCUUUACUAUAGCUUGACACUGAACAUUGAGCCUUGAUGUGUAGGAUAGGUGGGAGGCUUUGAAGUGUGGACGCCAGUCUGCAUGGAGCCGGCCUUGAAAUACCACCCUUUAAUGUUUGAUGUUCUAACGUUGACCCGUGAUCCGGGUUGCGGACAGUGUCUGGUGGGUAGUUUGACUGGGGCGGUCUCCUCCUAAAGAGUAACGGAGGAGCACGAAGGUUGGCUAAUCCUGGUCGGACAUCAGGAGGUUAGUGCAAUGGCAUAAGCCAGCUUGACUGCGAGCGUGACGGCGCGAGCAGGUGCGAAAGCAGGUCAUAGUGAUCCGGUGGUUCUGAAUGGAAGGGCCAUCGCUCAACGGAUAAAAGGUACUCCGGGGAUAACAGGCUGAUACCGCCCAAGAGUUCAUAUCGACGGCGGUGUUUGGCACCUCGAUGUCGGCUCAUCACAUCCUGGGGCUGAAGUAGGUCCCAAGGGUAUGGCUGUUCGCCAUUUAAAGUGGUACGCGAGCUGGGUUUAGAACGUCGUGAGACAGUUCGGUCCCUAUCUGCCGUGGGCGCUGGAGAACUGAGGGGGGCUGCUCCUAGUACGAGAGGACCGGAGUGGACGCAUCACUGGUGUUCGGGUUGUCAUGCCAAUGGCACUGCCCGGUAGCUAAAUGCGGAAGAGAUAAGUGCUGAAAGCAUCUAAGCACGAAACUUGCCCCGAGAUGAGUUCUCCCUGACUCCUUGAGAGUCCUGAAGGAACGUUGAAGACGACGACGUUGAUAGGCCGGGUGUGUAAGCGCAGCGAUGCGUUGAGCUAACCGGUACUAAUGAACCGUGAGGCUUAACCUUACAACGCCGAAGCUGUU